rnacentral:rRNA from 1 species
UACUCUAGUCUGCCAGUUUCAAAUGCUAUUCCGAGGUUGAGCCCCGGGCUUUCACAUCUGACUUAACAAACCACCUGCAUGCGCUUUACGCCCAGUAAUUCCGAUUAACGCUCGCACCCUCCGUAUUACCGCGGCUGCUGGCACGGAGUUAGCCGGUGCUUCUUCUGUCGCUAACGUCAAAGYAUACCGCUAUUAACGAUAUCCCCUUCCUCACGACUGAAAGUACUUUACAACCCGAAGCCUUCUUCAUACACGCGGCAUGGCUGCAUCAGGCUUGCGCCCAUUGUGCAAUAUUCCCCACUGCUGCCUCCCGUAGAGUCUGGACCGUGUCUCAGUUCCAGUGUGGCUGAUCAUCCUCUCAGACCAGCUAGGGAUCGUCGCCUUGGUGAGCUCUUACCUCACCAACUAGCUAAUCCCACCUAGGCAUAUCCCGACGCGAGAGGCCCGAAGUCCCCCUCUUUGGCCCGUAGCAUUAUGCGGUAUUAGCCAUCGUUUCCAAUGGUUAUCCCCCACAUCAGGGCAAUUUCCUAGGCAUUACUCACCCGUCGCCGCUCGACGCCCAACAAAUUACCCGAAGCUCAAUGUUGUCGUUUYCGCUCGACUUGCAUGUGUUA